rnacentral:pre_miRNA from 1 species
UUUGAGUUAAAUGGUGAGUAGCCAACUUGGAGGAAGUGAUCAACCCUUGGGAUAAAAUUAAAUUCGCUUCUUUUUACCACAAAAACUUUUUACCGUGGGUAAAAUGAAUCUUAUUGGGUAUAAAAAGAACCAGAUUUAAAUUUAACCCAAGGGUUAAUGAUGUAUUUUUUCCAAGAAGGCUGCUCACUAUUUACCCCAAG